CUGCAACUCGCCUGCAUGAAGCAGGAAUCGCUAGUAAUCGCCGGUCAGCCAUACGGCGGUGAAUCCGUUCCCGGGCCUUGUACACACCGCCCGUCACACUAUAGGAGCUGGCCAUGUUUGAAGUCAUUACCCUUAACCGUAAGGAGGGGUUGCCUAAGGAUAGGCUUGCGAAUGGAGUGAAGUCGUAACAAGGUAGUUGUACUCGAAGGUGUGGCUAGAUCACCUCCUUU
rnacentral:ncRNA from 1 species